rnacentral:rRNA from 1 species
GAUGAACGCUGGCGGCGUGCCUAACACAUGCAAGUCGAGCGAUUUACUUCGGUAAAGAGCGGCGGACGGGUGAGUAACGCGUGGGUAACCUGCCCUGUACACACGGAUAACAUACCGAAAGGUAUGCUAAUACGGGAUAAUAUGUUUUGAUCGCAUGAUCGAAAUAUCAAAGCUCCGGCGGUACAGGAUGGACCCGCGUCUGAUUAGCUAGUUGGUAAGGUAACGGCUUACCAAGGCGACGAUCAGUAGCCGACCUGAGAGGGUGAUCGGCCACAUUGGAACUGAGACACGGUCCAAACGCCUACGGGAGGCAGCAGUGGGGAAUAUUGCACAAUGGGCGAAAGCCUGAUGCAGCAACGCCGCGUGAGCGAUGAAGGCCUUCGGGUCGUAAAGCUCUGUCCUCAAGGAAGAUAAUGACGGUACUUGAGGAGGAAGCCCCGGCUAACUACGUGCCAGCCGCCGCCGUAA